rnacentral:lncRNA from 1 species
AUAAACCUCAAUACCCCGUCCGGUAUAAGGGUGAAGCGUGCUGUUCACAUACCCCGUCCGGUAUGAGCACCAAAAUAUUUAGAGUCUCCAUACAUUGUCCGGUAUGAGAGAUAACGUUCCCGGUAUGGUCCCCUAUGGACCCGGUCCGUCCACCAUCUCCUAAGAUGUCUAGUGAGGCUGUUAACCUAUCUAUUUAUCAACUCAAUCCCAUUCCUAUUUGUUCUUAGUCUCAAUUACCCAAUCAAACAUGAAUACGUAAACCAGUAACGAACACCAAAC